CAUCGUUCUUUUCCCCCUUGGGAAAUGAUUGCCCGUGAUUGCUUGGUCGCUGCAGAUCGGUAUCACGGCAGGGAAAAGAAAGAAGAAACGUGGCAGGACGCGCGCGGCAUGAGAAGUGGCUGUCCCCGGCGCCACCCGCGCGGGGGUCGCAGAUGAACCCCCUCACCUCGCUCGCUGUCCAAACGCCGGAGGCCCGCGUGGUUCCGGGUCUCGGGUCAAGCGGGCCCGACCUCCUCCGCUUGUAAUGGGCGCCGCCAACACCUUUUCAAACCUUAUAUGUUCUGUGUGAGGGGGAAAAGGCACAACAGCACAUUUUAAACGUAAAGUAUUAAGGGAAUCAGGACUCGUGGUAGAAAUGAUACCUUUUAUUAGACCAACAAGAUUUUUGCAAAAAAAAAAAAAAAUUCUUUAAUUGCAAGUUUUUAGUGGCGGGCACAAACACCCUUCAUCGGGCAUCGGAGAAAAGAUUGUAGAAGUUCUGGGUAGAAAUUAAAGUUCAUAUUUCAUAGGAUUUCACAGAGGAGUCAAUGGAUGGAAAACUCCUCUGGGCAGUCGGUUCAGAGCUGAGGGGUCUCCCACACUUGCAGUCUUAGGUGAUUUUCAAAAUUGUACUGACUAUGCUGCCUGGAGGAAGAAAAGUUUGCUUCAGAAAUAGCAUUGCAGUUAUCAAGACUGGAUCUUUUCCUUUAAGACAAACACAGCAAGAGUGGAAAAAGCUCACCAGAGGGAGAGCCGUUGUCUCUGGACUGUCCUUUGGUUCCUCUUCUCUGACAUGGGUUAUUCCAGAGGUGGGCAAAAUAUGUGUGGGGGGUCCCAAUGCCCCCCCAACCUCUGUCACCCCACAAACCCCAGGCCCCCACAGCCACCCAACAUAUACACAUCCCCCGAAACAUCCCCUACACACCCCUGCACACAGUCACACCCUCUCAACCCCCCUACCAUACACCCCCCUCAACCACACCCCACACACUCUCCCAUACAAUAUAUAAGAGUAAAACUUUAUUUUAGAGCUAUUAUGCAAUCCCCUCUAUAUACAGGACACAAACACAGAUCAGGACAAACAUAUGUUUUGCAAUAAAAUUAAAAUAUAGGUAGA